rnacentral:rRNA from 1 species
AUUGAACGCUGGCGGCAGGCCUAACACAUGCAAGUCGAGCGGAGCGGCGGACGGGUGAGUAAUGCCUCAGAAUCUGCCUGGUAGUGGGGGAUAAAGUCCGGAAACGGGCGCUAAUACCGCAUACUAUCAGAUGAGCCUAGGUCGGAGUAGAUAGUUGGUGGGGUAAAGGCCUACCCAGGCGACUAUCCGUAACUGGUCUGAGAGGAUGAUCAGUCACACUGGAACUGAGACACGGUCCAGACUCCUACGGGAGGCAGCAGUGGGGAAUAUUGGACAAUGGGCGAAAGCCUGAUCCAGCUAUGCCGCGUGUGUGAAGAAGUGCUUCGGAUUGUAAAGCACUUUAAGUUGGGAGGCGUUACCAACAGAAUAAGCACCGGCUAACUCCGUGCCAGCAGCCGCGGUAAUUC